rnacentral:rRNA from 1 species
UACGAAGGGGGCUAGCGUUGCUCGGAAUCACUGGGCGUAAAGGGUGCGUAGGCGGGUCUUUAAGUCAGGGGGGAAAUCCUGGAGUUCAACUCCAGAACUGCCUUUGAUACUGAGGAUCUUGAGUUCGGGAGAGGUGAGUGGAACUGCGAGUGUAGAGGUGAAAUUCGUAGAUAUUCGCAAGAACACCAGUGGCGAAGGCGGCUCACUGGCCCGGUACUGACGCUGAGAUGCGAAAGCGUGGGGAGCAAACAGG